GUAGGGGGCAAGCGUUGUCCGGAUUUAUUGGGCGUAAAGAGCGUGUAGGCGGCCUGAAAGGUCAGCUGUGAAAACUCGAGGCUCAACCUCGAGACGCCGGUUGAAACCAUCUGGCUAGAGUCCGGAAGAGGAGUGUGGAAUUCCCGGUGUAGCGGUGAAAUGCGCAGAUAUCGGGAAGAACACCCGUGGCGAAGGCGGCACUCUGGGACGGUACUGACGCUGAGACGCGAAAGCGUGGGGAGCGAACAGGAUUAGAUACCCUGGUAGUCCACGCCGUAAACGAUGGGUGCUAGGUGUGGGAGGUGUCGACUCCUCCUGUGCCGAAGCUAACGCAUUAAGCACCCCGCCUGGGGAGUACGGCCGCAAGGCUA
rnacentral:rRNA from 1 species